AGUGUAGGCGGUUACUUAAGUCGGAUGUGAAAUCCCCGGGCUCAACCUGGGAAUUGCAUUCGAUACUGGGUAGCUAGAGUUUGGUAGAGGUAAGUGGAAUUCCGGGUGUAGCGGUGAAAUGCGUAGAUAUCCGGAGGAACAUCAGUGGCGAAGGCGGCUUACUGGACCAAAACUGACGCUGAGGCUCGAAAGCGUGGGGAGCAAACCGGAUUAGAUACCCGAGUAGUCC
rnacentral:rRNA from 1 species